rnacentral:rRNA from 1 species
AACGAACGCUGGCGGCAUGCCUAACACAUGCAAGUCGAACGAGACCUUCGGGUCUAGUGGCGCACGGGUGCGUAACGCGUGGGAACCUGCCCUUAGGUUCGGAAUAACUCCCCGAAAGGGGUGCUAAUACCGGAUAAUGUCUUCGGACCAAAGAUUUAUCGCCUUUGGAUGGGCCCGCGUUGGAUUAGCUAGUUGGUAGGGUAAAAGCCUACCAAGGCGACGAUCCAUAGCUGGUCUGAGAGGAUGAUCAGCCACACUGGAACUGAGACACGGCCCAGACUCCAACGGGAGGAAGAAGGGGGGAAAAUUGGAAAAGGGGGGAAAGCCUGAACCAGAAAGGCCGGGGGAGGGAAGAAGGCAUUAGGGUUGUAAAGCUUUUUUACCCGGGAGGAAAAGGAAAGGACCGGGAAAAAAAGCCCCGGAGAAACCCGG